CAGUAGCCGCGGUAAUACAGAGGGUGCGAGCGUUAAUCGGAUUUACUGGGCGUAAAGCGUGCGUAGGCGGCUUCUUAAGUCGGAUGUGAAAUCACUGAGCUUAACUUAGGAAUUGCAUUCGAUACUGGGAAGCUAGAGUAUGGGAGAGGAUGGUAGAAUUCCAGGUGUAGCGGUGAAAUGCGUAGAGAUCUGGAGGAAUACCGAUGGCGAAGGCAGCCAUCUGGCCUAAUACUGACGCUGAGGUACGAAAGCAUGGGGAGCAAACAGGAUUAGAUACCCCCGUAGUCCCUGUCUCUUAUAC
rnacentral:rRNA from 1 species